GAAAAAACGAAGAAGAGGAUAAGUACUCUUAAGCUGAAGAAUUUCCAGAGAAUCGGUAUUGCUGGGAACCGAUAAUUCUUUCUUAAGACGAACUCGCCUCCGAGUAUCAGCUUGAAACAGUAGGAUUAGAGCUGGUCGGGUGUCAUUCACAAUCGCACUCGUUAUUAAAACAAGAAUGCAAGCCUGCAUUCCUGAGGUAAUCAUCAUGAUUACGAAGAAGGGUGGUACCGUGAAAUGACAAAGUCUUUUCACCCCUUUG
rnacentral:ncRNA from 1 species